rnacentral:rRNA from 2 species
UAGGGAAUCUUCGGCAAUGGACGAAAGUCUGACCGAGCAACGCCGCGUGAGUGAAGAAGGUUUUCGGAUCGUAAAACUCUGUUGUUAGAGAAGAACAAGGACGUUAGUAACUGAACGUCCCCUGACGGUAUCUAACCAGAAAGCCACGGCUAACUACGUGCCAGCAGCCGCGGUAAUACGUAGGUGGCAAGCGUUGUCCGGAUUUAUUGGGCGUAAAGCGAGCGCAGGCGGUUUCUUAAGUCUGAUGUGAAAGCCCCCGGCUCAACCGGGGAGGGUCAUUGGAAACUGGGAGACUUGAGUGCAGAAGAGGAGAGUGGAAUUCCAUGUGUGGCGGUGAAAUGCGUAGAUAUAUGGAGGAACACCAGUGGCGAAGGCGGCUCUCUGGUCUGUAACUGACGCUGAGGCUCGAAAGCGUGGGGAGCAAACAGG